rnacentral:tRNA from 2 species
UCCUUUUAAGUUCUAAAGAACAUUGAUUUUGUAAAUCAAAGGAAUAAAAUAA